rnacentral:rRNA from 1 species
AACGAACGCUGGCGGCAUGCCUAACACAUGCAAGUCGAACGAGACCUUCGGGUCUAGUGGCGCACGGGUGCGUAACGCGUGGGAACCUGCCCUUAGGUUCGGAAUAACUCCCCGAAAGGGGUGCUAAUACCGGAUAAUGUCUUCGGACCAAAGAUUUAUCGCCAUUGGAUGGGCCCGCGUUGGAUUAGCUAGUUGGUAGGGUAAAAGCCUACCAAGGCGACGAUCCAUAGCUGGUCUGAGAGGAUGAUCAGCCACACUGGGACUGAGACACGGCCCAGACUCCUACGGGAGGCAGCAGUGGGGAAUAUUGGACGAGGGGCGAAAGCCUGAUCCAGCAAUGCCGCGUGAGUGAGGAAGGCCUUAGGGUUGUAAAGCUCUUUUACCCGGGAUGAUAAUGACAGUACCGGGAGAAUAAGCUCCGGCUAACUCCGUG